CCUACGGGUGGCAGCAGUAGGGAAUCUUCCACAAUGGGCGAAAGCCUGAUGGAUCAACGCCGCGGGGGUGAAGAAGGUCUUCGGAUCGUAAAACCCUGUUGUUAGAGAAGAAAGUGCGUGAGAGUAACUGUUCACGUUUCGACGGUAUCUAACCAGACAGCCACGGCUAACUACGUUACAGCAGCCGCGGUAAUACGGAGGUGGCAAGCGUUAUCCGGAUUUAUUGGGCGGAAAGGGAACCCAGGCGGUCGUUUAAGUCUGAUGUGAAAACCUUCGGCUUAACCGGAGUAGUGCAUUGGAAACUGGGAGACUUGAGUGCAGAAGAGGAGAGUGGAACUCCAUGUGUAGCGGUGAAAUGCGUAGAUAUAUGGAAGAACACCAGUGGCGAAAGCGGCUCUUUGGUCUGUAACUGACGCUGAGGUUCGAAAGCGUGGGUAGCAAACAGGAUUAGAUACCCUUGUAGUC
rnacentral:rRNA from 1 species